AGAGUUUUGAUCCCCUGGCUCAGAUUGAACGCUGGCGGCAGGCUUAACACAUGCAAGUCGAGCGGGGAAAGGUAGCUUGCUACCUGACCUAGCGGCGGACGGGUGAGUAAUGCUUAGGAAUCUGCCUAUUAGUGGGGGACAACAUUCCGAAAGGAAUGCUAAUACCGCAUACGCCCUACGGGGGAAAGCAGGGGAUCUUCGGACCUUGCGCUAAUAGAUGAGCCUAAGUCAGAUUAGCUAGUUGGUGGGGUAAAGGCCUACCAAGGCGACGAUCUGUAGCGGGUCUGAGAGGAUGAUCCGCCACACUGGGACUGAGACACGGCCCAGACUCCUACGGGAGGCAGCAGUGGGGAAUAUUGGACAAUGGGCGAAAGCCUGAUCCAGCCAUGCCGCGUGGGGAAGAAGGCCUUUUGGUUGUAAAGCACUUUAAGCGAUNNGGAGGCUACGAGAAUAAUACUCUUUCCCUUUGGNAGNUAACAGAUACAGGCNCU
rnacentral:rRNA from 2 species